rnacentral:rRNA from 1 species
GACGGAGGGGGCUAGCGUUGUUCGGAAUGACUGGGCGUAAAGGGCGCGUAGGCGGUUUUUUAAGUGAGGCGUGAAAGCCCUGGGCUUAACCCAGGAGGUGCGUUUCAUACUGGAAGACUUGGGUGCGAGAGAGGAAAGUGGAAUUCCUAGUGUAGAGGUGAAAUUCGUAGAUAGUAGGAAGAACACCUGUGGCGAAGGCGGCUUUCUGGCUCGCAACUUUCGCUGAGGCGCGAAAGCGUGGGGAGCAAACAGG